UACGUAGGGCGCAAGCGUUGUCCGGAUUUAUUGGGCGUAAAGAGCUCGUAGGCGGUUUGUCGCGUCUUCCGUGAAAACUGGGGGCUUAACUUCCAGCUUGCGGUGGAUACGGGCUGACUGGAGUGCGGCAGGGGAGACUGGAAUUCCUGGUGUAGCGGUGAAAUGCGCCGAUAUCAGGAGGAACACCGGUGGCGAAGGCGGGUCUCUGGGCCGUUACUGACGCUGAAGAGCGAAAGCGUGGGGAGCGAACAGG
rnacentral:rRNA from 1 species